rnacentral:rRNA from 1 species
GAUGAACGCUAGCUACAGGCUUAACACAUGCAAGUCGAGGGGCAGCGCAGUGUAGCAAUACAUGGGCGGCGACCGGCGCACGGGUGCGUAACGCGUAUCCAACCUUCCCGUUACUCAGGGAUAGCCUUCCGAAAGGGAGAUUAAUACCUGAUGGUGUUCAAAUUCCGCAUGUUAUUUGAACUAAAGAUUUAUCGGUAUGGGAUGGGGAUGCGUUCCAUUAGCUUGUUGGCGGGGUAACGGCCCACCAAGGCGACGAUGGAUAGGGGUUCUGAGAGGAAGGUCCCCCACACUGGAACUGAGACACGGUCCAGACUCCUACGGGAGGCAGCAGUGAGGAAUAUUGGUCAAUGGGCGAGAGCCUGAACCAGCCAGGUAGCGUGAAGGAUGACUGCCCUACGGGUUGUAAACUUCUUUUGUUUGGGAAUAAAGUUCAGCACGUGUGCUGUUUUGUAUGUACCAUUCGAAUAAGCAUCGGCUAAUUCCGUG